CGAGGAACCUUACCUGGGCGUCGAACGUAAGAUCGACUGUAGGUCGAAAGCUUACAUCUCUUCGGAGCAUUUUACGAGGUGCUGCAGUGGUUGUCGUCAGCUCGUGCCGUGAGGUGUCGGGUUAAGUCCCAUAACGAGCGCAACCCCUACCUUUAGUUGCCAGUCAGGUUAAGCUGGGGACUCUAAAGGAACUGCCUACGCAAGUAGUGAGGAAGGCGGGGAUGACGUCAAAUCAGCACGGCCCUUACGUCCAGGGCUACACACGUGCUACAAUGGCCGAUACAGAGGGCAGCUACCUGGUGACAGGAUGCAAAUCUCCAAAGUCGGUCUCAGUUCGGAUCGGAGUCUGCAACCCGACUCCGUGAAGUUGGAUUCGCUAGUAAUCGCGCAUCAGCCAUGGCGCGGUGAAUACGUUCCCGGGCCUU
rnacentral:rRNA from 1 species